rnacentral:rRNA from 1 species
UACGGGGGGGCAAGCGUUGUUCGGAAUUACUGGGCGUAAAGGGCUCGUAGGCGGCCAACUAAGUCGGAUGUGAAAUCCCCAGGCUUAACCUGGGAACUGCAUCCGAUACUGGAAGCUUGGAGUUGAAUCGGGAGAGGGAUGUAGAAUUCCAGGUGUAGCGGUGAAAUGCGUAGAUAUCUGGAGGAAUACCGGUGGCGGAAGGCGGCAUCCUGGACCAGUAUGACGCUGA